UACGGGGGGGGCAAGCGUUGUUCGGAUUUACUGGGCGUAAAGCGCACGUAGGCGGACUAUUAAGUCAGGGGUGAAAUCCCGGGGCUCAACCCCGGAACUGCCUUUGAUACUGGUAGUCUUGAGUUCGAGAGAGGUGAGUGGAAUUCCGAGUGUAGAGGUGAAAUUCGUAGAUAUUCGGAGGAACACCAGUGGCGAAGGCGGCUCACUGGCUCGAUACUGACGCUGAGGUGCGAAAGCGUGGGGAGCAAACAGG
rnacentral:rRNA from 1 species